rnacentral:rRNA from 1 species
CCUACGGGUGGCAGCAGUGAGGAAUAUUGGUCAAUGGACGAGAGUCUGAACCAGCCAAGUAGCGUGAAGGAUGACUGCCCUAUGGGUUGUAAACUUCUUUUAUAUGGGAAUAAAAUUCAGGAUGUGUACUGUUUUGUGUGUACCAUAUGAAUAAGGAUCGGCUAACUCCGUGCCAGCAGCCGCGGUAAUACGGAGGAUCCGAGCGUUAUCCGGAUUUAUUGGGUUUAAAGGGAGCGUAGGCGGACGCGUAAGUCAGUUGUGAAAGUUUGCGGCUCAACCGUAAAAUUGCAGUUGAUACUGGCUGUCUUGAGUGCAGUAGAGGUAGGCGGAAUGCGUGGUGUAGCGGUGAAAUGCUUAGAUAUCACGAAGAACUCCGAUUGCGAAGGCAGCUUACUGGAGUGUGACUGACGCUGAUGCUCGAAAGCGUGGGGAUCGAACAGGAUUAGAUACCCCUGUAGUC